GGAUUAGAUACCCUGGUAGUCUUAGCUGUAAACGAUGCACACUAUGUUUUGCAAUUUGCAGAGCAAUAGCUAACGCGUUAAGUGUGCCGCCUGGGGAGUACAUUCGCAAGGAUGAAACUCAAAGGAAUUGACGGGGACCCGCACAAGCGGUGGAGCAUGUGGUUUAAUUCGAUGCAACGCGGAGAACCUUACCAAGAAUUGAUAUGCUGCGAACGUUUACGAAAGUAAAAAGUCUAUUAUCUUAGUUAAUAGCGCAGACACAGGUGGUGCAUGGUUGUCGCAGCUCGUGUUG
rnacentral:rRNA from 1 species